AUUGAACGCUGGCGGCAGGCCUAACACAUGCAAGUCGAGCGGGGUUUUCGGACCUAGCGGCGGACGGGUGAGUAAUGCGUAGGAAGCUACCCGAUAGAGGGGAUACCAGUUGGAAACGACUGUUAAUACCGCAUAAUGUCUACGGACCAAAGUGUGGGACCUUCGGGCCACAUGCUAUCGGAUGCGCCUACGUGGGAUUAGCUAGUUGGUGGGGUAAUGGCUCACCAAGGCGACGAUCCCUAGCUGGUUUGAGAGGAUGAUCAGCCACACUGGAACUGAGACACGGUCCAGACUCCUACGGGAGGCAGCAGUGGGGAAUAUUGGACAAUGGGCGAAAGCCUGAUCCAGCAAUGCCGCGUGAGUGAUGAAGGCCUUAGGGUUGUAAAGCUCUUUUGGCGGGGACGAUGAUGACGGUACCCGCAGAAUAAGCCCCCGGCUAACUUCGUGCCAGCAGCCGCGGUAAAGUGACUACUG
rnacentral:rRNA from 1 species